UUCGCUCCCAGGUUUAUCAUCUUUAAGAGCUGUUCUCAUUUAAAAGAUCCCCUCUCCUCUGUGCCCUGACGAAUUAGAAUAUGUGUAAUCUAUUGGCAAUCUGCUUUUAUAAACACACACACACAAAACACCCCACGAUGGGGCAGUUCUCUUGCGUCACAGUGUAGCCGAGUAGGAAUGGACUCUUGGCAGCUAACAACAACUUGCUGAGCGAAAAGAACAGAAUCCUGGCGGCGCGAGUGGGUUGAAGCAACUGGGCCGCUAACCGAAAGAUGCGUGGUUUAAGCGCAAGAAUUUCGGCGCUGGAAGAAAAAACGAGGCUGUCGGUUGCGGUCAAGACCCCAAAGCUUCGGACACCCCAUAGGACAGUGCAAUUUCAGCCUAGAGAUUAGAGAUCGGAAUCGACUUCACGCCGGUAGGGGCAGCACCCGGAGCCGCGGCGGCCUAAGAAGGGACGAGGACGCUGACUCAGCGCGCGGUGCACACAAUAGAGCGAAGCGCUGCCAGUUCUUACCGCCAAGGUUAGUUUUUGGUGCGCGUGCGGGGUUCAACCGGCAAAGAUGAGGUGACCGUGUUUUAUUCCCGUGCCCAGUCCGCUCGCGGGAAUUUACCCCCAGCCCCGUCUGCCUGGGGGGAGCGCGAGCCUCUGGGAAAAAGCAAAAACCAAAAAACCCCCCAAAAGAACCACCACAACAAAAAAAACACUUGACAAUUAUGGGGCUGACAGGCCGGAAAACGGGACGGCUGUAAGGGCCGCCCCACGCCGCGAGCGGCUCUGGUGAUUGGUCCACCGCGUCCACGUGAUCGCUGUACGUCAUACGUUCAAAGAUGGCCGCCCCCAGCGUGCUCCGGCGUCGCGGGCGCGGCCAUAUUCGCUGGUGAGGAAAAAGUCGUAAACCUCGUUCUGCGUGCUCCGUGGAAACGCCGCGGACCCGGGUCCGACGACCUUCUCGGGAGAGCAGUCUGGGCGAGGGGACUCGG